rnacentral:rRNA from 1 species
AAUGAACGCUGGCGGCGCGCCUAAUACAUGCAAGUCGAGCGAGAAGACGUAGCAAUACGUUUGUAAAGCGGCGAACGGGUGAGGAAUACAUGGGUAACCUACCCUAGAGUGGGGAAUAACUAGCCGAAAGGUUAGCUAAUACCGCGUACGCUCCUUGGACUUCGGUUCAGGGAGGAAAGCGAUGCCGAGGGUAUCGCGCUCUUGGAUGGGCUCAUGUCCUAUCAGCUUGUUGGGAGGUAACGGCUCACCAAGGCUUCGACGGGUAGCUGGUCUGAGAGGACGAUCAGCCACACUGGCACUGCGACACGGGCCAGACCCCUACGGAGGCAGCAGUAAGGAAUAUUGCGCAAUGGGCGAAAGCCUGACGCAGCGACGCCGCGUGGGGGAGUGAA